rnacentral:rRNA from 1 species
AUUGAACGCUGGCGGCAGGCUUAACACAUGCAAGUCGAGCGGAGAUGAGGUGCUUGCACCUUAUCUUAGCGGCGGACGGGUGAGUAAUGCUUAGGAAUCUGCCUAUUAGUGGGGGACAACAUUCCGAAAGGAAUGCUAAUACCGCAUACGCCCUACGGGGGAAAGCAGGGGAUCUUCGGACCUUGCGCUAAUAGAUGAGCCUAAGUCGGAUUAGCUAGUUGGUGGGGUAAAGGCCUACCAAGGCGACGAUCUGUAGCGGGUCUGAGAGGAUGAUCCGCCACACUGGGACUGAGACACGGCCCAGACUCCUACGGGAGGCAGCAGUGGGGAAUAUUGGACAAUGAGCGAAAGCCUGAUCCAGCAAUACCGCGUGUGUGAAGAAGGCCUUAGGGUUGUAAAGCACUUUCAAUUGGAAGGAAAACCUCGAAGCUAAUACCUUCGAGUUUGACAUUACCUUUAGAAGAAGCACCGGCUAACUCCGUGCCAGCAGCCGCAGUAAGAC